UACAGAGGGUGCAAGCGGUAAUCGGAAUUACUGGGCGUAAAGGGUGCGUAGGUGGUUUGUUAAGUCAGGUGUGAAAGCCCUUGGCUCAACCAAGGAAGUGCAUCUGAAACUGAUCGACUUGAGUACGGGAGAGGAGAGUGGAAUUCCUGGUGUAGAGGUGAAAUUCGUAGAUAUCAGGAGGAACACCGGUGGCGAAGGCGACUCUCUGGACCGAUACUGACGCUGAGACGCGAAAGCGUGGGGAGCAAACAGG
rnacentral:rRNA from 1 species